GCCACUUUAGCUCAGUUGGUAGAGCAGCUCAUUCGUAAUGAGCAGGUCGCGGGUUCAAGUCCCGUGAGUGGCU
rnacentral:tRNA from 1 species